UACGUAGGGUGCAAGCGUUGUCCGGAAUUAUUGGGCGUAAAGAGUUCGUAGGUGGUUCGUUAAGUCUGAUGUUAAAGACUGGGGCUCAACCCUGGAAGUGCAUUGGAUACUGGCGGACUUGAGUGUGGUAGAGGCAAUCGGAAUUCCAGGUGUAGCGGUGAAAUGCGUAGAUAUCUGGAAGAACACCGGUGGCGCAAGCGGAUUGCUGGGCCAUAACUGACACUGAGGAACGAAAGCUAGGGGAGCGAAUGGG
rnacentral:rRNA from 1 species